UUCACUUCUUAUUUUUUGUUUUCUCCUCAGCUGCUCUGCUUCUUCUUUCUCUUCCAGACCUCUUUCAAAACUCAGUAAGAACACAAUUUGGACCACGAGCUUCACUGAAUGAAUUGAAGUGGGGUUGAAGACGAAAACUGAAUUGGAGAUGGGUAGGAGCUUUCUCAAAGUGCUGGGAGAUGGUUCUGCGCCUUUGUUCAUGGCAAGAGAACAUGUCAUUGUCUGAACCUUGCAAUCGACUUCACUAUGCGAAGCUGGAGACUUUGGGAUUUCGAAAUUGCUUCAUGGCAUUGGAUUUUGGUUGAGGCAAAUCUGAACAAGGCAGAGUGCAGUUAUUGUUUUGGUUGCCGACGAAUUGGGAGCCUGUUUUGAGUCGCUGUUCCUCAUUCUUUUAUUUAUAGAAUAAGAACGUGAUGCCCACCAACUGUUCGAUGAAAGGCCACAGACAAUCUCUGCAAAAUUUGAUUGAGGUACGUCAAGGGCUUUUGCGAAGCUCCAGUAGUGAUCAAUUGCUGUGCUUUUGGAAGAACCCGCUUCUUUUCUUAUUUGCUCAAUGGCACAUCCGAAAGAAGGACAGGUGCCGCUUCGUCAGUAGCUGUAGGAUAGGUGCAGAUGCAGACAAGAACUUUGACAACAAACACCAUCUUGCUGUAACAAGGCUUUGAACACAACCUUGAUGGAGGUGUAUUGAAUUCGCUGCUGCAAUGUGUUCCACCGGAUUAGUCAUACUCUUGUUGAUACAUAGAGUACCCUACACUAGAUUGCGACUCCUUGGGGACCUCCAUAGCUCCAUGGUGACAACUGACAAGAAUAAAAGAGACGCUGCAUUUAUUUGCCAGGAGAGCACCAUCAUUUGUUGAAGCAGCAAUCCUUCACCAGGAGGACACCAUCAUGGUCACUUUGCUUUCGCCACCUAUACGCAGGACGCACCGCCAUAUAGGCAUCGAGAAGCAAAGUGAGGCAAGAAUGGCGUUGUGGUUUUGAUUUGUGCCAGAGAGACUAUUGUGGGCAGAAGCUCGACUUCUCCGUUAUUGCUGAUGUGGUAAUCGCCUUGAUCACCAGCAGGAGAUUAUGAGGAUGAGAGCAACAACAGACACUCCAGAGAGAUUUUUGGCCAUGCUUCAUGGAUUGGUUGUCUUAGCACUUGACAACGUCUGCACCAUGAAAGGAAAAGUUCAGUAAUUUCAGGUGAUAAUCAUAAUUAUAUACCUGUGACUUAUGGAGCUUCUUCUACUGAAACGUGGUUCUCUGUGUGUGGCUUCUCUUGGAAAGCUUUAAGGAUGGAAUGCUGUAGGACUCCGGUCUUGAGUGAACUCUCUCCUUUUUGCUCUCCUCUUUCUUGGGUGCCUCAAUGUUGCAGAGCUUUCGCCUAUUUUUUUCUCUGCUCUCUAGUCUUUCUUUCCUCUCUUUUGGUGUUCCUCGUUUGUUGCUUCUGCCCCUAGCCUCUCUGCCUUUUUGCUCGUGAGGUUGAGCCUUUUUAUAGGCAGCUGAGAACCCAGACGGUUGGUUGGAGAUGAGGAUAACAUGCAAUUUAAAUUCAAAUUUGAAGCUAUAAUCUGUCACUUUGAAGAUGAUCACAGCAGCAACAAAACUCCAAUUUUCACGUUGGAAGCUUGAACUGGUAGCUUUGUUUAUUCAAACUUUGGAUAGGUAAAAAUCUCUUUCAUCUUGACUCGGUCUCGAGUUUGUAAGAGGCGGAUUUGAUGCCUUCACUUGAGGCUGAUUGCUUUCUUUCUUUCUUUGACCGACUCAUACAUCCUCUGUAGUCUAUGGUGAUUGCAUAUUUAUUUGAAAACUUGUUGAUAAGAUUACACGUUCAAAAGAAACAAAAGAUC